UCAGCAGUGGAGGAAUAUUGGUCAAUGGCCUAACGGCUGAACUGGCAACUUGGAGAAGUGGCAAGUCUUCCAGUAUGGGGAGCAAACAGCUAUGGGUCAAGCCCGACAUCUUUAGGAGAAGUCUUAUUGUGAGGGCGAGUUGUAAAACACCAUAGGGCUGGCCGUCCCAUAUGAAAAGAUUUUAUUAGAAUUGAAUGAAACUUUGUUUAUAUAUUGAUAAUGACAGUAUAUAUAUCGUGUCUUGACUAAUUGCGUGCCAGCAGUCGCGGUAAUACGUAAGAGACUAGUGUUAUUCAUCUUAAUUAGGUUUAAAGGGUACCCAGACGGUCAAUAUAGCUUAUAAAAUGUUAGUACUUGACUAGAGUUUUAUGUAAGAGGGCAGUACUUGAGGAGGAGAGAUGAAAUUUCGUGAUACCAAAGGGACUCUGUAAAGGCGAAGGCAGCCCUCUAUGUAAAAACUGACGUUGAAGGACGAAGGCACAGAGAACAAACAGGAUUAGAUACCCAAGUAGUCUUUGCAGUAAAUGAUGAAUGCCAUAGGUUAGAUUAAUAGUUAAUGUAUAUAGGCUAGUAUAAUAGACUAUACAUUAAAAAUUAUUUGGUCUAUAAAUGAAAGUGUAAGCAUUUCACCUCAAGAGUAAUGUGGCAACGCAGGAACUGAAAUCACUAGACCGUUUCUGACACCAGUAGUGAAGUAUGUUAUUUAAUUCAUUGAUCCCGCA
rnacentral:rRNA from 1 species